GGCGAAGAUCCGGUGAGCC
rnacentral:misc_RNA from 1 species